UUCCUGACCCACCUGCCGUUCCUCAACCUGGCGGAGCACACCCAACCUCAGGACAUUUGCACAUGCCGUGACGUCCUCUGCGAUGCUCUUCCCACUGCUGCUUCCUUAUACGGCUUCUCCCCAGUGAGGCUUUUGCUGGACCCACCUCUCACUUGGACCUGCUCGUUCUUCUCCAUCACCUCACCUGCUUGUUCCUUCACACAUUUGUGGCUCGAUGAUUUCUUUGCUUGUGUUCCUGAACAGCGAGCUCCUGGCAGGGCAGUGGCCACAGCCACCUUUUUCCCCACUGCAGCCCGGUGCCUGGCACAGAGGAGAAGCUCAGGCAUUUGUAGAAGAAGCGAUACACCUUGGUGGUGCCGCGUUCAAACAAAGAGAGUAUGAAGGAAAAAGUGUGAUCCACAUCCGCCAGCCACACCGCUCCACCGCCCUCGAUUCCCUGAAACCCUCUCACCGGGGGCCCUGCCCCGGGGCCACUCGAUGGUGGGGGAGGAGUUCGUCCCACAGCCACGUGCCCCCACGGGCCACAGAGCCAGAGGCCCAGGGUGAGGGAGCCUGGUGGAUGGCCGGUCCCCCGGCCCCCAGCCCCUGGCAACCACUGUCUACCUCCUGUCUCCAUGGAUUCAUGUAUUCUGGACAUUUCAUUUGAUGAAUCAUACGAGACGUGGUCUUGGUGACUGGCUCCCCUCACUCAGCAUCAUGGUGUCAUGUGUUGUGGUCUAGAUCAGAAUUUCAUUCCUUUUUAUGGCCCAAUAAUAUUCAUUGUACGGAUACACCAUCGUUUGUCUAUCCAUUUUUCAAUCGAUGGACAGUUAGGAGGCUUCCGCUCUGUGGCCACUGUGAACAGGGCCGCUGAGAACAUUCAUGGACAAGCUUUCGUGUGGAUGGACGUUUCCAUUUGUCUCGGGCGCAUUCCUAGGAGCGGAAUUUCUGGGUCACACGACAGCUCUGUGUUUCAUCCUCGGAGGAGCUGCCGGGCUGCCCCGCGUCCUCGCAUCCUGCUCCGUGUGCGGUGCGCAGGGCGCUCCCCUUUCUGCUCGGAUGUGCAUCUGUGCCACCCUUUGAACCCAAUCUCGGGUCUAACGGGCGUAGCCCGCGCUGCCCUGUGGAGGGUCUCGGAGCCUCGCGAAGGGAAGCGACGCCCCUCCCCUGCUCUCCGCGCCGCCCUCCAAGGUCAACAAAACUAUCUUUUAAGCUGAACCACGCAAAACCCAGAAAGAAACGAACCUGACUUCUUCCUCCAGCUACAGAUGGCAGAGGCUUUUUUGACCUCUGAAGAAAGUAAAGAGAAAAACGAAGGGAAAAUGCAUAGGUGGAAACAUAAAUUAAAAAUUUAAAGGAACAAAAAAUUAAAAGGAACUAAGCACAGUGGUCCUUAGGCCAAGCUUCACAUUAGAAUCAUCUAGAAACUCUUUAAAAAGUGCGCCUGCCCAGGCCCUUCUCUCAGGCCUGGGGUUCAGCUGGUCCCCGGCGGCCGUGCGGGGCCUCCUGGAAGCUCCUCGGAGGCGGGCUCUGACGGCCGCAGGGCCGAUGGGGAGCCCUGCUGGCAGGGACAGCCUGGGCGCGCUGCGGGGACCCUGUAGUUCACAGCAGACCGUCUGUUGGGCGGGUUAUACCUGGCUGGCUGGGGUUCGAGCCGGUGCUACCAGUGUUGGCAGUGGUCCACUGAGAUCCCGAGAUCCUCAGAACUGGUGGGGCAGGGAGUCUCCUCAGGGACUGACCCGCCUUCUCAGGACAGGGCAGCACUGGCCGUAAUAAAGGGCUGGCGCUCCUUGAGCCCCUCCCUCAAACGUGUCCCUAAGCGCUCUUCCCACCUGCCUCCUUUAAGGCUCUAUGAAGUGUUAUUACCCUUUUUUUACUGAUGAGGAAACUGAGGAUCAGAGAGGGUGGGAGAAUUGCCUAAGGUCACAUCACUUAUAAAGAAAGGAACCCAGAUUCAAACUGAAGUCUGCCUGAUUCCAAACCCUUGAAUUAUUAACCCUUGCACUGGACCAUCUCCUGAGGCAAAGCUGACUUUGCUGGGGUGGGGAUGGGGCCUGGUGGUCUAUCCAUCCCUCCAUCCACCCCUC
ensembl:lncRNA